rnacentral:rRNA from 1 species
CCUACGGGAGGCAGCAGUGGGGAAUAUUGGACAAUGGGGGGAACCCUGAUCCAGCGACGCCGCGUGAGUGAAGAAGUAUUUCGGUAUGUAAAGCUCUAUCAGCAGGGAAGAAAAUGACGGUACCUGACUAAGAAGCCCCGGCUAACUACGUGCCAGCAGCCGCGGUAAUACGUAGGGGGCAAGCGUUAUCCGGAUUUACUGGGUGUAAAGGGAGCGUAGACGGCAGCACAAGUCUGGAGUGAAAUGCCGGGGCUUAACCCCGGAACUGCUUUGGAAACUGUGCAGCUAGAGUGCAGGAGAGGUAAGUGGAAUUCCUAGUGUAGCGGUGAAAUGCGUAGAUAUUAGGAGGAACACCAGUGGCGAAGGCGGCUUACUGGACUGUAACUGACGUUGAGGCUCGAAAGCGUGGGGAGCAAACAGGAUUAGAUACCCGUGUAGUC